AUACCUUUUUCGGUUUUUUUUGGCUAAGAUCAAGUGCAGUAUCUACAGUUCAAUAUCCGGUAUGUGGGCUAUAAGUCCACUUUAAUUUUAUUUUUUAUGGAGAGGGUCCACUUUAAUUUUAAAUUUAUUUUUUAUGGGGAGAGUCUAUCAUACUAGCUUGCCACUGGACCCUCGGGUGUCAUACAAUUGUUGCACUAUACCAUCAAAUUGAUUGUUGUACCGUCG
rnacentral:snRNA from 1 species